CCCGCCUGGACCGCUCGGACCGCCGGGACCGGCGCCGGGCGACGGGCCCGAGACGGCGCUCCGCGCCCCGGAUUCGCCUCGGCUCGGCCGCGCGUAUAUUUUCCUUCCUCCAUGGUCUCCAACACUGAUAAAGUGGAAGAAACUGAGGUACCAUGAAAGAGAAAAGUAACGUGGACUGAGAAAAAGAAAGAGGUGGAUUUCUUCUGAGAAGAUCCCAUUUCUACCUCAUCCAUCGGCCGGCCGACUUCUCUAAGGCAUCUUGCUGUUCAUUAAAUCUGUGGACGUAAAUAGGCUGCUGCCCAGGAUGACUGUUAGUAAGUGGCAGAACUUGGAUUUCAGCUGCCACCUGAAUCCAGAGCUCAAGUUCUUUCUCUGAUGGAACAUCCUCACCUUACCUGACGCUGUGCAACAUUGGACACCACCCCCUCCUCUCAAAUACUCUUUGUCUCCCUGGCACCAUUUCCCAGGGUCUUUCUCACCACUUUGGCUCCUUCUCUUCUCCUCCCUUGGUUAUUGUUGCUCCCAGGCCUUCCGUGCAUAGAUUACACUUUAUUCUUGAGGUGGUCUCACCCUUGACUUCGAUAAGUUAUUCUCUGCCGCUAAUUCCCACACCUUUAGCUGUAGCCUAGAGCUGUGUUCAGGAUCUGGUACCACAUGUCUUAUAAGAUGCGGAUGUCUGUAUUUCCAUGCCCCAAAGUUACUUCAGACAGCGAAGUAAAAAUACCUCCGCUUCCUUCCCAUCAGACUCUUCUUCCAGCAUUCCCCUUCCCCGUCAGUGGACUCAUCAGCCUCUUGGUCGCCCAGGCCAGAAGAGGGUGUCAUCCUUGACUCUCCCCUCUGCCUCAGCUCCCCACCCCCACAACACAUCAUCCAGUUGUGUCAUUCUCUCUUAACCUCAGUUCAUCUUCCCGGAUCUGCAGGGCCACUCGCUUCGUUCUGGCCACCUUCGUCUCUUUCCUGGGCGCUACAGUAGCAUUAGCCUCCCUGUCUCCACUCUCUCUUCUCUCUCUCUCCUCUCCAGUCCAUUCUGUCUUGACAUUGUAAUCAAGUCACCUUUUUUUUUUUUUGU